rnacentral:rRNA from 1 species
UAUUGGUCAAUGGGCGGGAGCCUGAACCAGCCAAGUCGCGUGAGGGAAGACGGUCCUAUGGAUUGUAAACCUCUUUAGGCGGGGAGCAAUGCCGGGCACGCGUGCCCGGAUGGAGAGGACCCGCAGAAUAAGCAUCGGCUAACUCCGUGCCAGCAGCCGCGGUAAUACGGAGGAUGCGAGGGUUAUCCGGAAUUAUUGGGUUUAAAGGGUGCGUAGGCGGGCUUUUAAGUCAGCGGUAAAAAUUCGGGGCUCAACCCCGUCCGGCCGUUGAAACUGGGGGCCGUGAGUGGGCGAGAAGAAGGCGGAAUGCGUGGUGUAGCGGUGAAAUGCAUAGAUAUCACGCAGAACCCCGAUUGCGAAGGCAGCCUUCCGGCGCCCUACUGACGCUGAGGCACGAAAGUGCGGGGAUCGAACAGG